UACGUAGGGUGCAAGCGUUGUCCGGAAUUAUUGGGCGUAAAGAGCUCGUAGGCGGUUUGUCACGUCUGCUGUGAAAACUCGGGGCUUAACUCCGGGCCUGCAGUGGGUACGGGCAGACUAGAGUGCGGUAGGGGAGACUGGAAUUCCUGGUGUAGCGGUGAAAUGCGCAGAUAUCAGGAGGAACACCAGCGGCGAAGGCAGGCCGCUGGGCCGUAACUGACGCUAGGCGGAAGC
rnacentral:rRNA from 1 species